rnacentral:tRNA from 1 species
UAAAGAGUAGUUUAAUCGGAAAAACGAAGAACUUUGACUUCUUUGUUGCGGGUUCGAUUCCCGCUUCUUUAA